rnacentral:rRNA from 1 species
UGGGGAAUAUUGCACAAUGGAGGAAACUCUGAUGCAGCGACGCCGCGUGAGGGAAGAAGGUUUUCGGAUUGUAAACCUCUGUCCUUGGUGACGAUAAUGACGGUAGCCAAGGAGGAAGCCACGGCUAACUACGUGCCAGCAGCCGCGGUAAUACGGGGGGUGCAAGCGUUGUCCGGAAUCAUUGGGCGUAAAGCGUUCGUAGGCGGUAUAUCAAGUCUGGUGUUAAAGCCCGGGGCUCAACUCCGGUUCGGCACUGGAUACUGGUAAACUAGAAUGCGGUAGAGGUAAGGGGAAUUCCUGGUGUAGCGGUGAAAUGCGUAGAUAUCAGGAGGAACAUCGGUGGCGAAAGCGCCUUACUGGGCCGUAAUUGACGCUGAGGAACGAAAGCCGGGGGAGCAAAUG